CUCCUACGGGAGGCAGCAGUGGGGAAUAUUGCACAAUGGGCGCAAGCCUGAUGCAGCCAUGCCGCGUGUGUGAAGAAGGCCUUCGGGUUGUAAAGCACUUUCAGCGAGGAGGAAGGGUAGUGUGUUAAUAGCACAUUGCAUUGACGGUACCAUUCAAGAAAGCUCCGGCUAACUACGUGCCAGCAGCCGCGGUAAUACGUAGGGAGCGAGCGUUAUCCGGAUUUAUUGGGCGUAAAGCGUCCGCAGCCGGUUUAUUAAGUAUAGAAUUAAAGCCUGGGGCUCAACUCCAGUUCGUUCUAUAAACUGAUAGGCUUGAGUGUGGUAGAGGCAAGUGGAAUUUCUAGUGUAGCGGUAAAAUGCGUAGAUAUUAGAAGGAGCACCAGUGGCGAAGGCGACUUGCUGGGCCAUCACUGACGGUCAGGGACGAAAGCGUGGGGAGCAAACAGGAUUAGAUACCCUGGUAGUCCACACUGUAAACGAUGGAUACUAGGUGUAGGGGGAUAAAAAUCCCUCUGUGCCGCAAGCAAACGCAAUAAGUAUCCCACCUGGGGAGUACGACCGCAAGGUUGAAACUCAAAGGAAUUGACGGGGGCCCGCACAAGCAGUGGAGUAUGUGGUUUAAUUCGAAGCAACGCGAAGAAUCUUACCAAGGCUUGACAUGCAGAUGAAUAUACAAGAGAUUGUAUAGUCCUUCGGGACGUCUGUGCAGGUGGUGCAUGGUUGUCGUCAGCUCGUGUCGUGAGAUGUUGGGUUAAGUCCCGCAACGAGCGCAACCCUGUGAUUAGUUGCCAGCACGUAAUGGUGGGAACUCUAAUCAGACUGCCGUGAAUAACGCGGAGGAAGGUGGGGAUGACGUCAAAUCAGCACGGCCCUUACGUCCGGGGCGACACACGUGUUACAAUGGUCGGUACAGAGGGCCGCAACCUGGCGACAGGAAGCCAAUCUCAUAAAGUACGUCGUAGUCCGGAUCGGAGUCUGCAACUCGACUCCGUGAAGUCGGAAUCGCUAGUAAUCGUAGAUCAGAAUGCUACGGUGAAUACGUUCCCGGGCCUUGUACACACCGCCCGU
rnacentral:rRNA from 1 species